ACAUCCGCACAUGGGGACUGAGCCCAAUAUGUCAGUCUUGUUAUAAGAAGAAUCCUCAGAGAUGCGGAGGAGAGACACCCAGAAAUUAUCCAGUUUUAUAGAGAACUGGACUACUGACUGGUGUAUUCAUGAAGUGUCUGCAAGUGGAUUGAGCUGCUGUUGCUAAUCUGUGAACUGAACUGCUGAUUUCCAGACAACAUACAUGAGUUGCUCCAAAGAACCAUUUCUAAACAGGUCCACUUCCCCCGUAUCCUUUCUUUUCCACUAGAUCUGGUGGGUGGUGGGCUAGAAGGGAGGUUAAAAUAUUUAAGAAUCAUCAUUAAAAAUAGGCUUUGAAAAAAAAUUAAAGUUACACCUGUGCACCUGAAAGUAAUUCCAAGAAUUCAUUGCCUCACCAAGAUAAACUCGGAUGAGGGGUUUUUGUUGUUAUUGUUUGUGUGUGGUUUUUUUGAUUUAUUUAUCAGCUCAUUAUCUGGUAGAAAUGAAUGUUUUUACAUGUCUCCCCAGGAAGUCACACUACCUUUGGACAGUGUAUACUCAGAGUAGAUCUAUUUUAGUGAAUGUAUGCUGUAGCUGGCCUUUGCUCCUUUGUGGGUUUUUCUUUAUCCCAUCCUAUAUCUCCCUGGUUUCACCCCUCUCACCAGAUAGGAGAGAAAAAAGGAAAGAGAAGAGAAGAGAAGAGAAGAGAGAUUUGUGAAUCUAAUUUCUUUGUCUUGUUUCUUCUUUGCUUCUAGCUGGUCGUUGCUACUUUGUGGGUUCUUUCUGUCCUACCCUGAAUCUAACUUGUUUCUUCUUUGAGGAUGACUACUAGCAAACCACAACCUUCCCCCUGAAUGACCAAUAAUCACCAAACCUGCCACUUGGGGCCCUAGUACUUAAUAUACCUUCUGAAAAAUUCUGCAACUGGCAAAAUCACACUUUAGCUAGAGCAUGAAGCAAAUCAUAGUUAGAUACUGCAAAGAAGCCCGAUAUCCCCACACUUGAGAUUAAAAUGAAGACAUAUUCGUAUAACAUUUUUGUGUUUUUAAAAACAGAAAUCAAAAUUCCAGAAUUGUCUCUACAGUAUGUAGAGCAAAAUCAGCCAAGGCAAAUCGAUACAACCGUUAAGUGCUGACAAGAGGGCUCAGCGGGGAAAGGCGUUUGCUGUCAGCCUGAGGACUUAAGUGUGAUCCCUGGGAGCCCAUAGGGUGAAGGGCGAGAACUGACCCCCAUGAUUUCUAUAUGCACUGUGGCAUUUGUGUGCCUCCCUUAUACAAUAAAUAAAAUGUAAUAAAUACAAAAGCAAAAAGAGAGAGACAGGGACAGAGCCACUUCCUGUUCAAAGCUUCACAAUGCAUACUCAGGUCCUGAAGAUAUUGUGCAUAUUACAGCCUCAUUAUUUUGGUCUAAAAUCCUGGUACCUUAGUUUCUUUCUUUCAAGUGGUAUUAUGGAUGGUAAUUGCCCAGUUCCCUAGUCUCAGAUUCUAAGUGUUUUGGGGACUCAGGCGGCACAGGGUUUGUACUACGGUGACUGUCUUUUGCUCUUUCAGCUAGUUCAUUUUUUUCCUUGGG
rnacentral:lncRNA from 1 species